UACUUUUUUCCUUACCCUUGAUUGGUUGUUAGCUGUGAAGAAGGCGGGAGUAAGUUGCAGAAGGGGAGAGAAAGUGAACAUGGAAGAUGGUUGAAAGACACAGAAGGGACUUAUUUCUGUUUGAUGGAUUUUAGCAGAGGAUUUUUCCUAAUGGACUGAUGGAUCGUGGAUUUUCCAGAAGAUUGAUAGACUGAAGAGCUCCCUUGUAAAGAUGAAAAAAUAUGGCCUCAUGUGAAAAAGGUGCCUGACAGGAGUCAUCCCAAUGAUUCUUCAGUCAGUUCCAUCACAGAACAUACUGGUGACCAUUUUAUUUACAGAGAUGAGCUUUCAAACAUUUCCUGUCAAUCAUGCAUGCCAUCCACUCACUGUCCUAAUUCCAUUUUGCUUUAAUGUUGACUGAUUAAACAAAA